GGCAGUAUAGCACAGUGGUAAGGAGUGAGUCUUGAAAUCACAAGGUUGCUGGUUCGAUUCCCCACUGGGG